rnacentral:rRNA from 1 species
GGACUGAGACACGGCCCAGACUCCUACGGGAGGCAGCAGUGGGGAAUUUUCCGCAAUGGGCGCAAGCCUGACGGAGCAACGCCGCGUGUGGGAUGAAGGCCUGUGGGUUGUAAACCACUUUUCUCAGGGACGAACACAAUGACGGUACCUGAGGAAUCAGCCUCGGCUAACUCUGUGCCAGCAGCCGCGGUAAGACAGAGGAGGCAAGCGUUAUCCGGAAUUAUUGGGCGUAAAGCGUCCGUAGGUGGUCUAGCAAGUCUGGGGUUAAAGCCCGGAGCCCAACUCCGGAUCGGCCUUGGAAACUGCCAGACUCGAGUAAGGUAGGGGUUGCGGGAAUUCCCGGUGUAGCGGUAAAAUGCGUAGAUAUCAGGAAGAACACCAGCGGCGAAAGCGCGCAACUGGGCCAUUACUGACACUGAGGGACGAAAGCUAGGGGAGCGAAUGGGAUUAGAUACCCCAGUAGUCCUAGCCGUAAACGAUGGUGACUAGAUGUGGCUCGUAUUGACCCGAGCCGUGUCGUAGCUAACGCGAUAAGUCACCCGCCUGGGGAGUACGCACGCAAGUGUGAAACUCAAAGGAAUUGACGGGGGCCCGCACAAGCGGUGGAGCAUGUGGAUUAAUUCGAUGCAACGCGAAGAACCUUACCAGGGCUUGACAUCCUGCGAACCCCGCUGAAAGGUGGGGGUGCCUUCGGGAGCGCAGAGACAGGUGGUGCAUGGCUGUCGUCAGCUCGUGUCGUGAGAUGUUGGGUUAAGUCCCGCAACGAGCGCAACCCGCGUCCUUAGUUGCCAGCAUUUAGUUGGGCACUCUGGGGAGACUGCCGGUGACAAGCCGGAGGAAGGUGCGGAUGACGUCAAGUCAGCAUGCCCCUUACCGCCCUGGGCGUCACACGUGCUACAAUGGCCAGCACAAAGGGUAGC